rnacentral:rRNA from 1 species
UACGUAGGGUGCGAGCGUUAAUCGGAAUUACUGGGCGUAAAGCGUGCGCAGGCGGUUCGUGAUGACUGAUGUGAAAGCCCCGGGCUCAACCUGGGAACUGCAUUGGAAACUAGCGGGCUGGAGUGUGGCAGAGGGGGGUGGAAUUCCACGUGUAGCAGUGAAAUGCGUAGAGAUGUGGAGGAACACCGAUGGCGAAGGCAGCCCCCUGGGCUAACACUGACGCUCAUGCACGAAAGCGUGGGGAGCAAACAGG